rnacentral:rRNA from 1 species
UACGAAGGGGGCUAGCGUUGCUCGGAAUGACUGGGCGUAAAGGGCGCGUAGGCGGAUGGCACAGUCAGAUGUGAAAUUCCCGGGCUUAACCUGGGGGCUGCAUUUGAUACGUGUUGUCUUGAGUUCGGAAGAGGGUCGUGGAAUUCCCAGUGUAGAGGUGAAAUUCGUAGAUAUUGGGAAGAACACCGGUGGCGAAGGCGACUUACUGGACACAUAUUGACGCUGAGGUGCGAAAGCGUGGGGAGCAAACAGG